AACGAACGCUGGCGGCAGGCUUAACACAUGCAAGUCGAGCGCCCCGCAAGGGGAGCGGCAGACGGGUGAGUAACGCGUGGGAAUCUACCCAUCUCUACGGAAUAACGCAUGGAAACGUGUGCUAAUACCGUAUACGUCCUUCGGGAGAAAGAUUUAUCGGAGAUGGAUGAGCCCGCGUUGGAUUAGCUAGUUGGUGGGGUAAAGUCCUACCAAGGCGACGAUCCAUAGCUGGUCUGAGAGGAUGAUCAGCCACACUGGGACUGAGACACGGCCCAGACUCCUACGUGAGGCAGCAGUGGGGAAUAUUGGGCAAUGGGCGCAAGCCUGAUCCAGCCAUGCCGCGUGAGUGAUGAAGGCCCUAGGGUUGUAAGGCUCUUUCACCGGUGAAGAUAAUGACGGUAACCGGAGAAGAAGCCCCGGCUAACUUCGUGCCAGCCGCCGCCGUAACAC
rnacentral:rRNA from 1 species